GUUCAUCUAAGACUGGACGCAUUUAGGUCAUAUGACGGUAGGCAGGCGAGGUAACAUUCAGUUAAUACCAUCUCAGAUGGACUGUACGAUUGUUGUGUCAGGAAAAAGAAAAAUCAAAAGGAAAAAUUUCAAAUACCACUUAUAUGGUUUUGCAUUUUUUUUUUACUUUAGUGUCUUGUAGUUUAAAAUAUAUCAUUUUUAUAUCUUGUGAUUUUAUUUUAUUUUUUUAUUAUUUGUUUCAUUAAUUUUUUUUCGUUAAAUAAGUAAUAAAUUAAAAAAAGGUACUAAAGUGAAUAUUCGAUAAACUAUAGAUAGAGUAUUUGAAGUUUUUUGUAUAUAAUUUAAUGAAAAGCUAACGGAGGGGUUGACGAAAAGAGAAAAAUAAAACCAGUAAAUUAAUAUAUUUUAAAUUACAGGAUGGUAUUUGAAGUUUAUUCAAAUCAAAAUCAUGUGCAU
rnacentral:lncRNA from 1 species